UCAUGGAUGGAAUACAAGGUGCUCAAAGGAUAGGAUAGCUGGCACCGAACCGUGGGAUACUUGAGUGUGAUGAUUCACAAAAUGACCUCCUGAGCAGUACAGUUUGACGAUUCGUUGGCACAAAUUGUUGACACCAAGGACACCCCGUUGAACUCCCAGUUGAAUACCUUCAGCAUCUCAUAUUUUUUUCCUCGGUAUGCGUGUCUUCUCAAUUGGAAUCAUGUAAUUAAAUAUACGGAGGUGUGGUGUACUAUUUCUGCUGCUGGUGCAGCAUGCUAUUCUGUACUAAAUGGAAACAGUAUUUG
rnacentral:lncRNA from 1 species